AAGAUUAUAAUUUUGAUAGAAGGAGAAUAAGAGAUAGGUGGGUUUGGUUUUUUUUGUGGUUUGUUUUGUACCGCCGUAAUGAUUAAUAGGCAGAGUCGGGUGCAUCAGUAGUCAAUUGUCAGAGGUGAAAUUCUUGGAUCUAUUGAAGACUAACUACUGCGAAAGCAUUUGCCAAGGAUGUUUUCAUUGAUAAGGAACGAAAGUUAGGGGAUCGAAGACGAUCAGAUACCGUCGUAGUCUUAACUAUAAACUAUGCCGACUAGGGAUCGGACGAUGUUAUUCUUUGACGCGUUCGGCACCUUUCGAGAAAUCAAAGUGCUUGGGCUCCAGGGGGAGUAUGGUCGCAAGG
rnacentral:rRNA from 1 species